CUUCCGCUACGAGCCUCCACUAUCUUCGGUUGAUCUCGAAGGUCGUAGUACAACUCAACGAUAGGUUAGACGUAGUUUUAUUUUGAAGUAGUACGAGCCAGUAAUUCGUUAUUAAAAGUUUUAUUUUUCAAUAAUACGCAACUCAACAAUGAUUGAGUUUUUACUUAGAGGUAAUACGAUUUAACAGCAAAAUCUUUUAACCUCAAAUAAUAUUAAUUUCGAUUUAAUUAGCGUUGCACGCGAGCAUUAAUGCAAUAAUUGGUACACCUAAUUGAAAGAUCGGCCAGUCCUUCUGUUCGAUUUUGCAGAGGUGGGAUAAUAAAUAAAUGCGUAAGUGCUAGCAUAAAAAUAUGAGUAUUUAUGUGGUAUAUUAACAAUAUACAGAGUUUAUAGGUACAAACAUCGGAAGAUAUUUCUUAUAUAUCUAAUCCCACUCUCCAAUAUACAUAGCUUGCGGGAUCGGAUGUAUUACGCCUCUCGUCGGAAUCGGCAAAUGGAAUAUAAUUAUCAGGUGAUCAUCGCUCACCAAGUCCGCUUUCGAAGCUUCUGGCAUGAUAUAUAAUGGGCGGCGGUCGAUGGGCG